GGGAUCCAAUCUGGCCUACCUCAAUCGCGCUAGCAAUCCAAGCUCUCUCAUGGCCCAUCCCCAAGCUGAGCUGGUUGGCCCUAAAGCAAGGUUUGGCAUGGUGGUUCUGUCAGGCCUGGGCCUAAGCAGCAUUUCCACCCAUCGCAAGGUGGGCUCUGGCCUAGCGGUAAAUCAUCAGCCAUGGGGUAGCAGCCCAAGAU
rnacentral:lncRNA from 1 species